rnacentral:rRNA from 1 species
GACGGUAGCGGCUGAGGAGGCGACCGCACACUGGACUGAGACACGCCCAGACUCCUACGGGAGCAGCAGUGGGAAUAUGCACAAUGGGGAAACCNUGAUGCAGCGACGCCGCGUGAGGGAUGACGGCUUCGGGUUGUAAACCUCUUUCAGUAGGGAAGAAGCCUUUCGAGGUGACGAUACCUGCAGAAGAAGUACCGGCUAACUACGUGCCAGCAGCCGCGGUAAUACGUAGGGUACAAGCGUUGUCCGGAAUUAUUGGGCGUAAAGAGCUCGUAGGCGGUCCGUCGCGUCUGCUGUGGAAACGCAAGGCUCAACCUUGCGCGUGCAGUGGGUACGGGCGGACUAGAGUGCAGUAGGGGAGUCUGGAAUUCCUGGUGUAGCGGUGAAAUGCGCAGAUAUCAGGAGGAACACCGGUGGCGAAGGCGGGACUCUGGGCUGUUACUGACGCUGAGGAGCGAAAGCAUGGGGAGCGAACAGGAUUAGAUACCCUGGUAGUCCAUGCCGUAAACGUUGGGCACUAGGUGUGGGGCUCAUUCCACGAGUUCCGCGCCGCAGCUAACGCAUUAAGUGCCCCGCCUGGGGAGUACGGCCGCAAGGCUAAAACUCAAAGGAAUUGACGGGGGCCCGCACAAGCGGCGGAGCAUGCGGAUUAAUUCGAUGCAACGCGAAGAACCUUACCAAGGCUUGACAUACACCGGAAUGUGCCAGAGAUGGUUCAGCCCUUUGGGCUGGUGUACAGGUGGUGCAUGGUUGUCGUCAGCUCGUGUCGUGAGAUGUUGGGUUAAGUCCCGCAACGAGCGCAACCCUCGUUCUAUGUUGCCAGCACGUGAUGGUGGGAACUCAUAGGAGACUGCCGGGGUCAACUCGGAGGAAGGUGGGGAUGACGUCAAAUCAUCAUGCCCUUUAUGUCUUGGGCUUCACGCAUGCUACAAUGGUCGGUACAAAGGGUUGCGAGACCGUGAGGUGGAGCGAAUCCCAGAAAGCCGAUCUCAGUUCGGAUCGUAGUCUGCAACUCGACUACGUGAAGUCGGAGUCGCUAGUAAUCGCAGAUCAG